UGCAGAGCAUAUUGUUCUUCUCUCUCUUCUUCAUUAUUCCCAAUUCUCCAUUUUCCCAUUAGCACAGAUUAGCUUGUCAAACACUAACAGUUUUUGCAGCAAAAGGAAGACGUAUGUGAGCCCACAUGCAUCCUGGGCUCGCAAGAUUUGUACGUGAAACAGGAGCAGUGUUAUACAUGAACAAUUAGCAGCCAUAUCUGGAUUUUUUGGGGGGAACUGAUAAUAAGGCAGGACGGAGCCAUGACGCAUGGCCGGAUGAUGGAGCAGGAUGGAGCCAUGACGCAUUUGUUCGGACUAAUCAAUCGAGUGCUGUGGAUGAACAGUUAGCAUUGGAGUUGAUGAGUCCAUUUCAAGAAAUUGUUGUCACUGAGACGAAUGGUAACCAUACUGAGCAA